UGCUGCCAUCCAUUGGCGAUGAUGACGUAGAGCAGAUAAUUUCUCCCGAUCGAUGACGUCGGUCUUGACGGUACCGACUUUUAGGUGACCCGCCGAGCAAUUGCUGAUGCAUUCUCUCUAGUUUUGGCGGAUUUGGUGGUUCUCUGGCACAUGAGGUGGCGAUUCUCUUCUUCACGUGGUGGCAUCUUUGUUCUUGCUCGGAAUUAGGAUGUUAACUUAUGCUGAGAGUUUUCUACAACACAGUUUCUUGCAUGCAGGGUAUUAUAUAAGCAGCUCUCUCUUGUCGGCGUUAAUUUUUCUUGUAGGGUUGAGGAGAUAGUGGGAUUUGGGUGACCACCACACGCUCAGAGUAGGUCUCUAGAGUCGAAAUUUUCAGUGGUGAGUAUUGGUGGUGAAAUUUAACCGUGGUAUUGAGCUGUUGGGAUAUCUAAUCUGUUCUGGGUAAGGAGAUGGCCUACCCAAGGAGAAAUGGGAACAAACCGUCUUCGAGCUUUCGGUUCGAAUUUUACACGAAUGUGCUAAGAUUCUUUUUCCCUCGAGUCGGUAUUGAAUUGCCCAUCUUUUUCCUCGUUUUAGGAGAUCUUCAGCUUCUUUGAUCGAAUCUACUGAGAAGACCAAGACUUUUCUCAGUGCCACAGCGCGUGAGGGAUCUGUCGCCGAGCUGAGUUGGGGUUGGUGUGUUUCAAUUAGAUGCUGUUGGUGGUGGUGAACCCAUUUUAGGUUUUAAGUCAUAUAAAACCACAAUUUCAGUGCUCCAUAUGAAAGUUUGGUGUUCAGGUCAACUCCCUAAAUUGUUAUUACUUGUGGAGGACUGUUCGCUCUAUCACGGUUAGAAUCGCUGACGACCCUAGUUGGAUCUUGUCACAAUUUCAUCAGCUUUAUCCAUUGGAAACGAGCGACCGACGAACAAACUGCGAGACAAUUGACUAGAAGCCAUGGGGAAAGUUGCAACCGUACUUGAAAAUGGAACAGACGCUCAUUGUGAGAUCAAGUCACGAAGUGCAUCCGGAGUGCAUAUACUUGUGAAGAAGCUUGCCCCCAAAGAACAAUAUACACUAGAAAGAAGAACUAGUGACACUUACUUGCAACAUUGGGUUUUUGUGGGUCGAGAUGCUGUUGCCAGUUUCAGCAGCGACGAGCUGAUUGACAACGACAAGAUCGUAAUUGAACAUGAUGGUACUGAGUUCAAGGUGGCUAAGAAUCCUAGGCCGGAAACAAUGAAGUCAUCGAAAAGCAUGCCUAUUCCAGGAAGAUCUUCUUAUCAACCUUAUAAUGAUAUUGGUAAACCACCCUUACACACAAGAAUAGGAAGGCUUUUCAACUCCUUGAUAAGACGCUCUCAACAUCCUACCACUUUAGAUGUAUCCUCAUCAGAUGUAGAACCACAUAUGCAAAAUUCUCAUGCACCUAAUCGUCUUCAUUCUAUAUAGACAAAUGAAUUAAUAGAGUGACACUAAGCUAAAACCCCAUAAUCUCCUAACUUUUGCUGUAGUCCACACAACAGAGUGCUGUAUUAGCUUGAUGUAUUUCAACGUCACUUGCUAAAUAGCGAAAAAAUAUUUAGGGUCUUGAGGAUGUUUCUGGAGGCAAAUUUUGGAUUUGCUUGUUUAAUGUCUUAGGGUCCUUGAGGAUGUGUUUGGGUCAGUCUGGACCUGCCAGAUUUAACUUCACACAGCAAUAUUUUAAAUGUGGUAUUGGAUGUGUAGAAUGGGCGACUUUGUCCCUUUGAGAUCACAAGAUCUGUGUCUGACCUUGAACCAGUAGUUGAAUCACUCAUUAGUGCUUUCAAAAAAAAGGAUGGAAUUAAAAGCUUUCCAUUAAAUUGGAAGUUACAGAGAGAUGUGGGUAAAAGGAUGUUUUGGGAUCAAAAUAGGGGUGCUUUUGUGGAAACAUUUAAGUUAUGAACGCAUAAAAUUUAUCAGCAUGCAUUGAAUUUGUCAAUCAUCUGUCACGUACGUUUUCCAACUUUUGUUUUUGUCACAGUUACGGAAUUUUGGUCCAGUUAUUAGAAGCAAUAUUUGUUUGCUUUUGCUAGUCUAGAAAUAGCUGUGCUCAUGGCCUCACCUUCCUCUUGUAUCUGUCAAAUUUCUAAUUCUUAUCAAGACUUGUGGGGUAGCAUCUGCAAAUCAAGGUUGCCUAGGCAGCAUUUCUUCCUCUUU